rnacentral:rRNA from 1 species
ACUUUUUCUGGUAGCAAUACCGGGAAAAGUUUAGUGGCGAACGGGUGCGUAACACGUGGGCAAUUUGCCUUAAAGUGGGGGAUAGCUCGGCGAAAGCCGAAUUAAUACCGCAUGUGAUCAGCCAAGACAUCUUGGCAACAUCAAAGCCGGGGCAACCUGGCGCUUUUAGAGGAGCCCGCGGCCUAUCAGCUAGUUGGUGAGGUAACGGCUCACCAAGGCUAUGACGGGUAGCUGGUCUGAGAGGACGACCAGCCACACUGGAACUGAGACACGGUCCAGACACCUACGGGUGGCAGCAGUCGAGAAUUUUUCUCAAUGGGGGAAACCCUGAAGGAGCGACGCCGCGUGGAGGAUGAAGGCUUUCGGGUUGUAAACUCCUGUCAUUUGGGAACAAUGCUACCGAGUUAACUGUUCGGUAGUUGAUAGUACCAGAAGAGGAAGAGACGGCUAACUCUGUGCCAGCAGCCGCGGUAAUACAGAGGUCUCAAGCGUUGUUCGGAUUCAUUGGGCGUAAAGGGUGCGUAGGUGGCGCGCUAAGUCAGGUGUGAAAUUUCGGAGCUUAACUCCGAAACUGCAUUUGAUACUGGCGUGCUUGAGGACUGGAGAGGAGACUGGAAUUCAUGGUGUAGCAGUGAAAUGCGUAGAGAUCAUGAGGAAGACCAGUGGCGAAGGCGGGUCUCUGGACAGUUCCUGACACUGAGGCACGAAGGCCAGGGGAGCAAACGGGAUUGGAUACCCCGGUAGUCCUGGCAGUAAACGGUGCACGUUUGGUGUGAGAGGAUUCGACCCCUUUCGCGCCGGAGCUAACGCGUUAAACGUG